rnacentral:sRNA from 2 species
CGACCGGCAACGCCAAAUCCUGCCCCCGGUCGUCGGAACCCAGUCACCCGGGCAGGAGCGGGGGACCCAACGUUCCUCGGUGCACGUCACCUCGGGGUGAAGCCGCCACCGCGCGGCCGGGCUCCUCGGCCCGAACCCGACAGCUCACCUCGCCGGCGUGGAGGAAGCUCACA